rnacentral:rRNA from 1 species
GAUGAACGCUAGCUACAGGCUUAACACAUGCAAGUCGAGGGGCAGCACAGAGAUAGCUUGCUAUCUUGGGUGGCGACCGGCGCACGGGUGAGUAACGCGUAUCCAACCUGCCCAUUACUCUGGGAUAGCCUUGCGAAAGUAAGAUUAAUACCGGAUGUUGUUAAAAACCCGCAUGAGUUUUUAACCAAAGAUUUAUUGGUAAUGGAUGGGGAUACGUGACAUUAGGUAGUAGGUGAGGUAACGGCUCACCUAGCCGACGAUGUCUAGGGGUUCUGAGAGGAAGGUCCCCCACACUGGAACUGAGACACGGUCCAGACUCCUACGGGAGGCAGCAGUGAGGAAUAUUGGUCAAUGGACGAGAGUCUGAACCAGCCAAGUAGCGUGCAGGAUGACGGCCCUCUGGGUUGUAAACUGCUUUUAGUUGGGAAUAAAAAGAGGGACGUGUCCCUAAUUGUAUGUACCAUCAGAAAAAGGACCGGCUAAUUCCGUGCCAGCCGCCGCAGUAAGAC